GUCCUUUUAGGGUAAUUAAAUUAUACAGUAAAGCAUACUCACAUGCAGACACAGACAGUCUUACUGAUGCACACAAAUAGGCUCAUUGACAGACAAUCUCAAUGACACACACAGACAAGGUUACUGGUACACACACAAAUUUAGUACAGACAACUCUGAUACACAGACAAGCUCACUGCACACACAUGCUCACCACAGACAGGAGCAGGCACUCCCAUGCUCCCUACAGACAAGCUCACUAACACACAUACAAGCUCACUCACUAGCAGGUGCACACACACACAGAAGCUCCCUCACUAGCAGAUGCACACACACACAGAAGCUCACUCACUAGCAGAUGCGCACACACACACAGAAGCUCACUCACUCACUAGCAGAUGCAUACACACAAAGACAUCCACACACACAGAGGCAGACAUCCACACACACAGAGGCAGACAUCCACACACAGAGACAGGCAGACAGCCACACACACAGGCAGACAGUCACACACACAGACACACACAGUCAUACAUACACACAGAGGCAGACAGUCACACACACAGACAGUGUCUCUCACACACACACACACACACACACACACACAGGCAGUCACACUGACCUGCUUCUUACCUCCACAUCCCUGGAGCUCCUGGAGGCUGGUUGUUGGGGAAGCAGGAACUCCUUCCCAUGCUGCAUUAACCAGGGCCCCCACCGCACAUUAAGCCCCGCCCCCGCCGCAAUAUAUAUAUAUUUUUUUAUAAUCCCUGCCGGCCAUGUGCGAACUGUGCCGGCUGCCUGGCUCCCCCUGCUCCCAUGGGUUCCUGUGCACUGGGACAGUGUGGAGAUGCUUGGGGACGGUGGCAAACGUGGUGGCACAGAGAAAAAGGCAGAGACAGCAGCGGAAGAGGAAGCAGGAGGAGCCUGAGACCUUUCUUGGUUUUUGAUGUGCUUACUCCACUGCAGCUUGUGCUUUGCAUGUAGAUGCCUGGUCAUGCAGGUUGUGCUCAGGUUUAGCACCUUUAUGCCUCGCUUCAGGCUCUGAUUGCACAGCGUGCAAACCACUCGUGUCUUGUCAUCAGCACAUUGUCUGAAGAACUGCCAUGCCAGGUACCUCCUUGGAGCUGGCUUUGGUGUGCUCGGUCCCUGGGUGCGGUGGGCAGUAACAGGCGUACCGUCUAGGGGAUGGCCGCUCCGCUUUUGCACCCUGCUCCCUCUUAUGCUGUGCUGGUGGCUCUGUGCGACCACUGCCUCUUCCUCCAAACUGAGCAGGUCACUCUCAUGACCUUUAUUCCAUGUGGGGUCUAGGACCUCAUCAUCCUCUACAUCAUCUUCCACCCACUCCUCAACCCUGCCCUCCUUGCAGGUCUGCACACUGCCAAAAGCCAAAGCAGUUGGCACCUGUGUUUCGUCAUCAUCAGAGACGUGCUGCGGUGGUCCUUGCAUGUCCCCAUCCUCACGCAUAAGUGGUUGUGCAUCAGUGCACUCAAUCCCUUCCACUUCUGGGGCAGGGCUAGGUGGAUGGCCCAUGGAAACCCCACCAGCAGAGUCACACUAUUAGAUGCUUCGAUUUGACUCUCAGAUAUAAAGUGCACACCCCAAAUAUACUAUUUAGCACAAUUUUUUUUUUUAAAUUUGACUUUUUAAAACUCCAAUGUAAGCAGCAGAUUAGCAGCAAAACAAUUAGAAUGUUUACAACUGCGCAGUAAGUGCACUAUUAGACGCUUCUAUUUGACUCUCAGAUAUGAAGUGCACGCCCCAAAAUGUACUAUUUGUCAGAUUAGCAGCAAAACAUGCCCAGGGCAAAUGCCUUGUUAGCCUUGCGGCUAACUGACAUGCUGGGCUGGCGGGCGAGGGAGCACUUCCUCUGAGCUGUCUGCGCGCCGCAGAGUGAGG
rnacentral:lncRNA from 1 species